CUGACUGAUCCUGAUCGUCUCCAUGUGCAGAGAAAAAAGAGAUUUCAGAUUAACUGGUGUUCCUGCUGCUGCAGCACUAAAGGACAGUAUUGGUGACAGAGCUGAUGCCUGCUCAUAAUUUCACCAAAGUUAAUAAACUGUUGGCUAAAUGUUCUUGUUAUCAGAGGUGAAGGUACAAAGUGUGUGAUGUGGAUGGGAAUUGAGCAGCAUGGAUCAGUGUGACGACAGAGAGGAGGGAGUCCCUCCAUGUAAAAGAGCCAGAAAGAGGCAGAGCAAAGCUCAAAGAAUCCAUCAGAGACUCAAACCUGGAUGUGAACCCAGGUGUUUGUCCCCAAAGACUGAUGAUGGCCUCAUUCCUUUUAAAUCCCAGCAGGUGUCUGCUGCAGAGAAGAUCCGUGUGAUACCUAGAUCUAGAUGUGGAAUCAAACCCAGCUGUGUGUCCUUAAAGAGUGACUCGUCUAAAGACAACCCCCUCAUUAAUUUUAAAGUCCAGCCUCCGUCUGCUGCAGAGAGAGUGGACCAGCAGAGCUCAGAGGUUCCCAGUGGUCAGUCUGCCCAGCAUCAUCAAACACACCUGGACUCCUUAUUUAUGCUGCUGGAGGACAACAUCAUCACUUUUGUGAAGAACGAGCUGAAGAAGAUCCAGAUGGUUUUGAGUCCAGAUUACCCAGAAUGCGUAGAGAGUCAGCGGGAGGAGGAUGAACAGAGGAGCACCAGAGAGGCAUUUAUAAAGAUCACACUGAACUUCCUGAGGAGAAUGAAGCAGGAGGAGGUGGCUGACCAUCUGCAGAGCAAACUUCCCGCUGCUGUCUGUCAGCGUAAACUUAAAUCUGCACUGAAGAAGAAGUUCCAGUGUGUGUUUGAGGGCAUCGCUAAAGCAGGAAACCCAACCCUUCUGAAUCAGAUCUACACAGAGCUCUACAUCACAGAGGGAGGGACUGCAGAGGUCAAUGAUGAACAUGAGGUCAGACAGAUUGAAACAGCAUCCAGGAAACCAGACAGACCAGAAACAACAAUCAGACAAGAAGACAUCUUUAAAACCUCACAUGGAAGAGAUGAACCAAUCAGAACAGUGCUGACAAAGGGAGUGGCUGGCAUUGGGAAAACAGUCUUAACACAGAAAUACAGCCUGGACUGGGCUGAAGACAAAGCCAACCAGGACAUCCAGUUCAUAUUUCCAUUCACUUUCAGAGAGCUGAAUGUGCUGAAAGAGGAAGAGUUCAGCUUGGUCGAACUUGUUCAUCACUUUUUUACUGAAACCAAAGAAGCAGGAAUCUGCAGGUUUGAAGACUUCCAGGUUGUGUUCAUCUUUGAUGGUCUGGAUGAGUGUCGACUUCCUCUAAACUUCCACAAAACUAAAAUCCUAACUGACCCUAGAAAGUCCACCUCAGUGGAUGUGCUGCUGAUAAACCUCAUCAGGGGGAAACUGCUUCCCUCUGCUCGCCUCUGGAUAACCACACGACCUGCAGCAGCCAGUCAGAUCCCUUCUAAAUGUGCUGACAUGGUGACAGAGGUCAGAGGGUUCACUGACCCACAGAAGGAGGAGUACUUCAGGAAGAGAUUCAGAGAUGAGGAGCAGGCCAGCAGGAUCAUCUCCCACAUCAAGACAUCACGAAGCCUCCACAUCAUGUGCCACAUCCCAGUCUUCUGCUGGAUCACUGCUACAGUUCUGGAGGAUGUGCUGAAAACCAGAGAGGAAGGACAGCUGCCCAAGACCCUGACUGAGAUGUACAUCCACUUCCUGGUGGUUCAGGCCAAAGUGAAGAAGGUCAAGUAUGAUGGAGGAGCUGAGACAGAUCCACACUGGAGUCCAGAGAGCAGGAAGAUGAUUGAGUCUCUGGGAAAACUGGCUUUUGAUCAGAUGCAGAAAGGAAACCUGAUCUUCUAUGAAUCAGACCUGACAGAGUGUGGGAUCGAUAUCAGAGCAGCGUCAGUGUACUCAGGAGUGUUCACACAGAUCUUUAAAGAGGAGAGAGGACUGUACCAGGACAAGGUGUUCUGCUUCAUCCAUCUGAGUGUUCAGGAGUUUCUGGCUGCUCUUCAUGUCCAUCUGACCUUCAUCAACUCUGGACUCAAUCGGCUGGAAGAACAACAAAACCCCCCCCAGAGGUCUACAACAAGAGAAUGUACAGAGAAACACUUCUACCAGAGUGCUGUGGACAAGGCCUUACAGAGUCCAAAUGGACACCUGGACUUGUUUCUGCGCUUACUGCUGGGUCUUUCACUGCAGACCAAUCAGACUCUCCUUCGAGGCCUGCUGACAAGGAUAGCAAGUAGCUCAGACACCAAUCAGGAAAAAGUCAUGUACAUCAAGAAGAAGCUCAGUGAGACUCUAUCUGCAGAGAAAAGCAUCAAUCUGUUCCACUGUCUGAAUGAACUGAAUGAUCGUUCUCUAGUGGAGGAGAUCCAACAGUCCCUGAGAUCAGGAAGUCUCUCCACAGAUGAACUGUCUCCUGCUCAGUGGUCGGCUCUGGUCUUCAUCUUACUGUCAUCAGAAGAAGAUCUGGAUGUGUUUGACCUGAAGAAAUACUCUGCUUCAGAGGAGGCUCUUCUGAGGCUGCUGCCUGUGGUCAAAGCCUCCAACAGAGCUUUAUUGAGUGGCUGUAACCUCUCAGAGAGAAGCUGUGAAGCUCUGUCCUUAGUUCUCAGAUCUCAGACCUCUCCUCUGAGAGAGCUGGACCUGAGUAACAAUAACCCGAAGGACUCAGGAGUGAAGCGUAUGUCGUCAGAACUGAAGAGUCCACAUAGCACACUGGAAACUUUGAGACUGAGCUACUGUAGCCUCUCAGAGAGAAGCUGUGAAGCUCUGUCCUCAGUUCUCAGCUCCCGGUCCUCCAGUCUCAGAAAACUGGACCUGUGUAACUCUGACCUGAUGGAUUCAGGGGUUAAACUUCUAUCUGCUGGACUAAAAAGUUCUUACUGCAAACUGGAAACUCUCAGUUUGGAGCCUGCUGGAGUCCAGUGGUUAACACCAGGUCUGAGGAAGUAUUCCUGUCAACUCACAAUUGACACAAACACAGUGCACAAAAAACUCAAACUGUCUGACAACAACAGGAAGGUGACACAUGUGAAUGAGGUUCAGUCAUAUCCUGAUCAUCCAGACAGGUUUAAUGGUCGUCUUCAGCUGCUAUGUAGAGAUGGUCUGACUGGUCGCUGUUACUGGGAGGUCAAGUGGAGAGGAGACGUUGACAUAUCAGUGAGUUACAGAAGAAUCAGAAGGAAAGGAGGCAGACACUGUGGGUUUGGAUGGAAUGAUCAGUCCUGGAGUAUUGAAUGCUCUGAUGAUGGUCCUUGUUCUGUCUGGCACAAUAACAGACUAACACCCAUCUCCCCCUCCUCCUCCUCCUCCUCCUCCUCCUCCUCUGUCUCUAACAGAGUAGCAGUGUAUGUGGACUGUCCUGCUGGCACUCUGUCCUUCUACAGAGUCUCCUCUGACACUCUGAUCCACCUCCACACCUUCAACACCACAUUCACUGAAACUCUUUAUCCUGGAUUUAGAGUAUCUCCUGGUUCAUCAGUGUCCCUGUGCUGAGUGGAGUGUAAAGAGUGUCCUCCUGUUAAAGAAACACUCUGACUGUUGAACAGAUAGUUCAGUCUGUACAUGUCUGUCUCUUUCACUCACAAACACGUUUUCA